CCUACGGGAGGCAGCAGUGAGGAAUAGUGGUCAAUGGACGCAAGUCUGAACCAGCCAUGCCGCGUGCAGGAAGACGGCUCUAUGAGUUGUAAACUGCUUUUGUACGAGGGUAAACGCAGAUACGCGUAUCUGUCUGAAAGUAACGUACGAAUAAGGAGCGGCUACCUCCGUGCCAGCAGCCGCGGUAAUACGGAGGAUUCAAGCGUUAUCCGGAUUUAUUGGGUUUAAAGGGGGCGUAGGCGGUCGGAUAAGUUAGAGGUGAAAUCCCGAGGCUCAACUUCGGAAUUGCCUCUGAUACUGUUCGGCUAGUGCGUAGUUGCGGUCGGCGGCAUGUCUGGUGUAGCGG
rnacentral:rRNA from 1 species